rnacentral:lncRNA from 1 species
CUGAAUAAAAAUAUACAAGUCUCAUAGUAAAGUUCUAGAAUAGAACAGAACAGUAAAUAUAGAUAACUUGAGGGCACGUCUGGAAUGAACCGCUACCUCUCAAGUAAGUCUGGAAGCUCUAAUCUGAAGAUGAGUAAAAAGUCGGAUCUGAUAGAGCUGUCGACCUACACAACUGUGUAGAAGCAAGGGUGAGUACCAAAAGCAACAGGUACUCGCAAGUAACAUUAAACUAAGCUAAACUAGCAGCUACAAACAACUCCUUUCAAUCCCAACCAAACCACUGAAACUUCAUCCUAACAGCGAACUAACAACUUAUACUACACAAUCCAUAAUCAACAGAUAUAUCCAACAAUGUCUCAACAUCAACCUCAUAUCCUCAUAUAAGAGCAAAUAAAUCAUAUAUCACAUGAAGAGGGACAAAUAGGUAAAAUCCACACACCACAGACAAAGAUGAAGUCAAAUGCGAUGCAAAUGCAAUAAUGAUGUCAUGUAGUCGUGAUGCAUGUCUGUCCUAAGAUACACAUCUGUUGACGUAAUCAGACCGCGCUGAAUACUCAAAUCAGAACCCAUGGGGGCCACACAUGGACCAUGUAUCACCGCCGGAACCAGAUCCCAUCGGCAUCCAAAUCGCUAGCCGGAGCUAGUCCAUCUCAUAUAUCUCUAGCCGGAGCUAGUCUCAACUGUGUCUCAUAUCCAUCCAUCCUCAUAUCAGUGUCUCAGAACUCAUGCAACAGAUAGUUCACACAUGGGAUGAAUAAUGAAUAUGCACAUGUCAUUAAUCACAAUCAUAUCACGAUCACAUCAUAGUAUUACACAUCAUCUGUCUCAAUUACAACCAUAUCACGGCCACAUCAUAGUAUUACACAUCAUUUGUCUCAAUUACAACCACUAUCACGACCACAUCAUAGUAUUGCACAUCAUCUGUCUCAAUCACAACCAUAUCAAAACCACAUCAUAGUAUUACACAUCAUCUGUCUCAACAUCAAUGUCUGUAUCAAUCAUAGCCUACUCAUGCUCUUCUAUCCCCUCAAUAUGAGUUAUCACAUGACUUAUUCAACAAAUUCAAGUCACAUAUAACACAUUUAGCUCGUUUUAUUUCCCCAUCUUUCAUUUACAACAAUUUCAAUCAACAAAUAAAACCCAUCCUCAAUCCCCAUUACUCCCCAACACAAUUAGGAAAGUAGUCAUGUGUAGUCUAAGAGUUUAACAAAGUUUAGAAGUCACUUGCCUCAAAACACUUCAACUAGUAACUCAAAUUUGAGUUUUACCCUUCCGAGCACGCUCCAAAUCACCACAAUCCAAUGAAUUCCUUGCGAAAACCCACUUGAAAUCACCUAUUUUCGAGCUCUCAAAGUCUAAAAAUGGAGAAAUGGGUA